UACGAGGGGGGCAAGCGUUGUUCGGAAUUAUUGGGCGUAAAGGGCGCGUAGGCGGUGUCGCAAGUCCGUGGUGAAAUCUCUAGGCUCAACUUAGAGACUGCCGCGGAAACUGCGGUGCUUGAGUGUGGGAGAGGUGCGUGGAAUUCCCGGUGUAGCGGAUGAAUGCGUAGAGAUCCGGAGGAACACCGACGGCGCAGGCAGCGUCCGUGGCCGCUUGCUGACACUGAGGCACGAAAGCUGGGGAGCAAACAGG
rnacentral:rRNA from 1 species